CUUUCUGCAAUUUGGCACCACAUGCUGAACAUUGCCCGUGAAGUGUAGAAGCACCCGAAAAAUUCUAAUGUAUUGGCAAAAGUCGUUCAAAGUUCGCAGAAAAAGUUGCUAAAGUGUGCGCAUCGGAUUGCGGAUUGUGUGUUCGAUUGGGAAUCGCAAAUCAAAAAGAGGUCAACCGUUGUGGAAUCGAUUCAGCUAGGCACACACCGCGUGGUACAACAAGGUGGUGGCAUCACUGUCGGGAUAGGCCCAGAGAAGGAGCAGCACCCCUUCAACAACGCACAUCAACUCGCCUGCAGGGGCAGUUUCGAUUCACACGGCUCGUCGCUAACUUUGUAGUAUAUAUCCUCGCAACGGUCAAAGCAAUCGUUGUUUAAGUCCCACAGUACGAGCAGCAGAGUAUCUAAGCCAACAUGUCGUUCGACGAAACUUCUGCGGAUCGGAAUGUGGAGAUCUGGAAAAUCAAAAAGCUUAUCAAGAGCUUGGAAAUGGCCAGGGGUAACGGAACCAGCAUGAUCUCGUUGAUCAUACCGCCGAAGGAUCAGAUCAGUCGGGUCAGUAAGAUGCUGGCAGACGAGUUUGGCACAGCCUCGAACAUCAAAUCGCGCGUCAACCGCCUGUCCGUGCUCGGUGCCAUCACGUCUGUCCAGCACAGGCUGAAGCUCUACACCAAAGUGCCUCCGAAUGGUUUAGUGAUUUACUGUGGUACGAUCGUGACCGAAGAGGGCAAGGAAAAGAAGGUCAAUAUCGACUUCGAACCGUUCAAACCAAUCAAUACCUCUCUGUAUCUGUGCGACAACAAAUUCCACACCGAAGCGCUCACUGCACUGCUUGCCGAUGACAAUAAGUUCGGUUUCAUCGUGAUGGACGGUAACGGUGCACUCUUCGGUACGCUGCAGGGCAAUACUCGAGAAGUGCUGCACAAAUUCACCGUCGAUCUGCCGAAGAAGCACGGCCGCGGUGGUCAGUCUGCGCUGCGUUUUGCCCGGUUGCGAAUGGAAAAGCGACACAACUACGUGCGAAAGGUGGCGGAGGUGGCCACGCAGCUGUUCAUCACCAACGACAAGCCCAACAUCGCCGGCCUGAUUCUGGCUGGUAGUGCCGAUUUUAAAACCGAGCUGAGUCAGUCCGACAUGUUCGAUCCGAGGUUGCAAUCAAAAGUGAUCAAGCUGGUGGAUGUGUCAUACGGUGGGGAGAAUGGUUUUAACCAGGCCAUCGAACUUGCUGCGGAAUCGCUACAGAACGUGAAGUUUAUUCAGGAGAAGAAACUGAUCGGACGCUACUUUGACGAAAUUUCGCAGGAUACCGGAAAGUACUGCUUCGGUGUCGAAGACACGUUAAAGGCGUUGGAGCUGGGGUCGGUAGAGACGCUGAUUUGCUGGGAAAACCUCGAUAUACAGCGUUACGUGCUAAAGAAUCAUGCGAGCGCAACUUCGACCACAGUAUUACACUUAACGCCCGAGCAGGAAAAGGACAAGUCUCACUUCACGGACAAAGAGAGUGGUGUCGAAAUGGAAUUGGUCGAGUCGCAGCCGCUCCUGGAGUGGCUCGCGAACAACUACAAGUGCUUCGGUGCAACAUUGGAAAUCAUUACCGACAAAUCACAGGAGGGCAGUCAGUUUGUGCGCGGAUUCGGUGGCAUAGGAGGAAUUCUACGUUACAAAGUCGAUUUUCAAUCCUUGCAAGCGGACGAACCGCUCGACGAUGUCGAUCUGGAUGAUUACUAAAUAGUUCUUUAAUUUAGCUUCCAACACUACCAUAACAUCCGCCGACGCCGCCAUAACAGUCCCGGCGUUGGCCAAGUCUCGCACCGAGUCUGUGUUGGGCGCGCGUUGUCGAGCCCAGCGCCUUGGAGCGCAUCCGUUUGUGGGUGUGUUUUUCCCUUGCGUUUCACCCCAACCCACCCGACUUGUUUUGAUGACGGUCAGUUAGAGCACAGUUUUCGUCCUUCUUCUCGCUUGACGACUGGGACUGGGCCGACCCCCCAGGGGUGGCGUAAUCUGCGUGUAGUGCAUGGUUUUCUUGUGUUGUGUGUUGUGUGCGUGUGCAACACGCCGUAAGCGAAGCGGCGGGCUAGUGAUGCUGGGAUUUGAACGUUCGAGAGCAAAACAAGACAAACAGAAAAGAAGAAAAAAAGAAAAAAACAUCAACAAACAACAAAGCAUAUAUUUAACUAUUCUCCAAAGCCCCUACUUCGCGGUUUUUCUUCAAUUGAACUGUGUAAUAUCGAUGCUAAUUUGUAGCGUACUUUCCAAAUAAGAGGUGUCCUUCGCUACAAGGUAGAUUUUCAAAGUAUGCAACUGGAUGAACUGGAUAACGAUUGUUUCGACCUCGAAGACUACUAAUUACGAUGCACCCGAGAUACGUUUUGUUUAUUUUGCCUCUAUCGGUAAUACGGAAACGAGAUACUAACUGAAGGAAACAACACAAUGGUGAACGUGUGGGGAGCUUUAGUGGAUGGCACAGGGCAGUGGAAGGUUGACGUACUGUGGUAGCGAAAAAUUCCCAUUCAGCUCCUCCUCGGUUGUUCGCUUCGGGCAAAGGGAGCAUUUUGCUGCGUGAAACAAGUAACCAAACCCCCCUCGGCCAAUUAAGAAGUAAGCCACUGCAAAAGCGAAAACAUCCCUCCCGCAGCACGAUUUUAAAAUAAGGGAAAAUUAUACAAAGAAAUGAGAAAACUUGCAAAGUAACCCCUAAUUAAGUACGAUUGAGGGUAACUCAUACGAAACAAACAGAAAAGAAGAGAAAAAUCGCAAAACAAACACUUCACUAUCCAGCAGGACAACGGAAGGAAACGACGAAAACAAUAAUAAAAAAAGAAAUUAUAUAAAAGAAACACACAGAUAUGGGCGAUUUUGUUUCAGUCCAAAAAUGAUGAUUUCACCCUAAAACAAGGAAAUGCAACGUUUCCGUGUUUCCUUUCUGAGCACGCUUGUUUCUGGUGAGUUCUACAUCGUAGCAGUCGAAUGUUGGUCCGUUUUGUUACUGUUUAGUUAUUUAGUAAGGGUUUUUUACAUGAUAGUCAUGAUGAGCGUUUGACGCUUAAGUAUAGCCAGCUUAGAUCGAACCAAAUCUAAAAUCAACUUUUUUUUUUAAUCAUGUUUAUUUGAUAAAACUUAAAUAAUGAUUAAUUUUCAAUUGUUUGACAACGCAUACUUUUGGAAACAAAGUCUUAAGCAAACUUGCUUCUCAUAUUCAGAAUAAGUUGCCGAUGUUGUGGGUAAAUCGUUGCUAAAUAAAU